rnacentral:tRNA from 1 species
UCCCUCUUAGCUCAGUGGUAGAGCGUGUCACUCGUACCUCAUAUCGGUCUUAUGACAAGGUCAGUCGUUCAAUCCGGCUAGCGGGAA